rnacentral:misc_RNA from 1 species
AACUUUUAGCAACGGAUCUCUUGGCUCUCGCAUCGAUGAAGAACCCAGCGAAAUGCGAUACGUAAUGUGAAUUGCAGAAUUCAGUGAAUCAUCGAAUCUUUGAACGCACCUUGCGCCCCUUGGUAUUCCGAGGGGCACACCCGUUUGAGUGUCGCUAAAAUCUCAACCUUCUCGGUUUCUUCUGGACACCGAAGGAGGCCUGGACUUUGCAGGCGUGUGCUGGCGUCUCUCGCCAACGCCUCUCAAAUGAAUUAGUGGGGGCCUCUUUGCCGAUCCUCGACAUGUGAUAAGAUGUUUCCAUGUCUUGGUUUAUGGCUCUGUUGCUUUUGGGACCCGCUUCUAACCGUCUCAACGAGACAACGUUCGAGCGUGUCGAACACUCUUGAACCCACGAACCCUUGACCUCAAAUCGGGUGAGACUACCCGCUGAACUUAAGCAUAUCAAUAAGCGGAGGCU